rnacentral:rRNA from 1 species
GAUGAACGCUGGCGGCGUGCUUAACACAUGCAAGUCGAACGAAGCAUUUCUGUGGAAGCUUUCGGGUGGAAACAGAAGUGACUUAGUGGCGGACGGGUGAGUAACGCGUGGGUAACCUGCCUUGUACAGGGGGAUAACAGUUAGAAAUGACUGCUAAUACCGCAUAACCCUUUAGUGCCGCAUGGCACGGAAGGAAAAGAUUUCAUCGGUACAAGAUGGACCCGCGUCUGAUUAGCUAGUUGGUGGGGUAAUGGCCCACCAAGGCGACGAUCAGUAGCUGGUCUGAGAGGAUGAUCAGUCACACUGGAACUGAGACACGGUCCAGACUCCUACGGGAGGCAGCAGUGGGGAAUAUUGGACAAUGGGGGGAACCCUGAUCCAGCCAUGCCGCGUGUGUGAAGAAGGUCUUAGGAUUGUAAAGCACUUUAAGUUGGGAGGAAGAGCAGUUAACUAAUAUUUGACUGUUUUGACGUUACCGACAGAAUAAGCACCGGCUAACUUCGUGCCAGCCGCCGCAGUAAGAC